rnacentral:rRNA from 1 species
GACGCUGCUGAUAGCGCAUAUAACAUUCCGGAUGAAGAGCGCCCGCCAGAGUCCAACCAAACUCUUGUAUUAAACCAGUCGUCUGAGUAUAAAAUUUUAAUUAAAUUAAAACUUUCAACAACGGAUCUCUUGGUUCUCGCAUCGAUGAAGAACGCAGCGAAAUGCGAUAAGUAAUGUGAAUUGCAGAAUUCAGUGAAUCAUCGAAUCUUUGAACGCACAUUGCGCCCCUUGGUAUUCCGAGGGGCAUGCCUGUUCGAGCGUCAUUACACCACUCAAGCACUGCUUGGUAUUGGGCAUCGUCCGUCGAAAGGCGGGCGUGCCUCGAAGACCUCGGCGGGGUUUCUCCAACUUCGGGCGUAGUAGAGUUAAAUCAAAACGUCUUAUAAGCUUGGUGAGAUCUCAUUGCCGUUAAACCUUUUAUUUUUCAGGUUGACCUCGGAUCAGGUAGGGAUACCCGCUGAACUUAAGCA